CCUACGGGAGGCAGCAGUGGGGGAUAUUGCACAAUGGGGGAAACCCUGAUGCAGCGACGCCGCGUGUGGGAAGACGGUCCUCUGGAUUGUAAACCACUUUCCCCAGGGACGAAGAUGACGGUACCUUGGGAGGAAGCUCCUACUAACUACGUGCCAGAAGCCUCGGUACUACGUAGGGAGCAAGCGUUGUCCGGAAUUACUGGGUGUAAAGCGCUCGUAGGCGGUAUGUCAAGUCAAGGGGGAAAUCUCCGCGCUCAACGUGGGAAGUGACUUUGAAACUGGAAAACUGGAGUGUGUGAGGGGAUAGUGGAAUUAGAGGUGUAGGAGUGAAAUCCGUAGAUAUCCGGAGGAACAUCAGUGGCGAAGGCGACUAUCUGGAACAUAACUGACGCUGAGGAGCGAAAGCGUGGGUAGCAAACAGGAUUAGAUACCCGUGUAGUC
rnacentral:rRNA from 1 species